rnacentral:rRNA from 1 species
GAUGAACGCUAGCGGGAGGCUUAACACAUGCAAGUCGAGGGGCAGCAUAGGGUAGCAAUACUCUGAUGGCGACCGGCAAACGGGUGAGUAACGCGUAUGCAACCUACCCUGUACAGGGGGAUAACCCGGAGAAAUUCGGACUAAUAUCCCGUAAUAAUAUCCGGAGGCAUCUUUGGAUAUUUAAAGUUUCGACGGUACGGGAUGGGCAUGCGUAACAUUAGCUGGUUGGUAAGGUAACGGCUUACCAAGGCUAUGAUGUUUAGGGGUCCUGAGAGGGUGGUCCCCCACACUGGUACUGAGACACGGACCAGACUCCUACGGGAGGCAGCAGUGAGGAAUAUUGGUCAAUGGGCGCAAGCCUGAACCAGCCAUCCCGCGUGCAGGAAGACGGCCCUAUGGGUUGUAAACUGCUUUUCCAGGGAGAGAAACUUACGCACGUGUUGUGUGACUGACGGUACCCUGGGAAUAAGCAUCGGCUAACUCCGUGCCAGCAGCCGCGGUAAUCA